AAGCACUGAGGGGAGCCGUGGCUCCCCUCAAAUAUUGCUGCAUGAUUUUUUAUUAUUUAACGGUCUGUUGUUAUUUUUAUUGAUCGUUAUGUCGAACAAGAUUUUUAUGAUCCCAAAGGGAUCAAGGGAAAACGUAUUUUUUUGAACGAUGGUGUGUCCAUAGUCACUUAGCGAUCCAACCAGUUCAGCUACCUCAGGGUAGUU
rnacentral:sRNA from 1 species